AACUUUUGGCAAUGGAUCACUUGGCUCUCGCAUCGAUGAAGAACGCAGCGAAAUGCGAUACGCAAUGUGAAUUGCAGAAUUCAGUGAAUCAUCGAAUCUUUGAACGCACCUUGCGCCCCUUGGCAUUCCGAGGGGCACACCCGUUUGAGUGUCGUGAAAUUCUCAAACCUUCUUGGUUUCUUGAUCAAGAUGGCUUUGGACUUUGGAGGCAUUUUGCUGGCUUUGCGAAAAGCCAGCUCCUGUUAAUUACAUUAGUGGGAUCCCCUUUGCCGAUCCCCAGGCGUGAUAAGAUAUUUCUACGUCUUGGGAUUUGCUCUGUUCCUUGGGAACCCGCUUCCAACCGUCUCAUGGGAGACAUCGUUCGAGUUUGCUCGACCCACGAACCUUGACCUCAAAUCGGGUGAGACUACCCGCUGAACUUAAGCAUAUCAAUAAGAGGAGGCU
rnacentral:misc_RNA from 1 species